rnacentral:lncRNA from 1 species
UUAAUUGAAGCACUGUAUUAAAAAAUGGUGACCACAGAAGAGAUAUACACUUAUUUUAGUUCAUUCUUUACCACCAUUUCCAGUUACGCAUUGUAUCUAAGCUACACAUGCUAACUCACUACAGGGAUAGAAGUUUUUUAAUCUUUGGGAUAUUUCCUUCUGGAGGACAAAAUGCCAGUUCUUUCCAUGUUCCAGCUCCCUUCUGACAUCAAUCAUUAUACAGUAAAAAUUCCAAACUUUAUAAAGAACUUCGUAAACACCCCUCUAAUUACACACAGAUUGUAAAAUUGCCUGAAAGUUAUCUGUUAACCUGUUAGAUAUUUUAAAUGAACUCCACAUGCCAGGAAAGUAGCCUUGUUAAGACCUUCUUCACAUCAUUCCCACUUUAAAUCACAUCAACCCAGGGCUCAAUCUGUAUUCUUUUUUCCGUUGUGAUUCUGUUUUUAACCCUAUUUGGUAUUUGUCCCUUCUCCAUUGUUGGGAAGGUCUGAAAGCCUGUCCUAUUGAGCCUGCUGCUUCUCCAUUAUUUCCUUUGAACAAACGCUAUCAUGUUGCCCUAAUAACCGCAGCUGUGUAAGCAUCUAUCAGUGUCUUUUAUCGUGGCAUAAUUUCUAUAUAUGAAGGUGAUUUGCCAUCCCUGUCUGCUGAUGACUUCCAUUGCUAGUAUUGACACAUGGCUCAACUCUCAACCCUUAACUCUUGUCUGCUCUUUCUUUCCCUCUCUCCCACUGGAGCAAUUUUAGCCUUUAUCCUAAAACAUUACUCUAAAAUUAAUGAAACUAGAGUGGCCAUAGAUCUUUAGCGACUAAAAAGGCAGCAGAAAGACUGAAUUGCCAAAUCUUGGAAAAAAAAAAAAAUCUCAGCUCGAUGCCUCGUUUCUGAGGCAUGAUUGUCAUCUCUACUAAUGGAUUGCUAUGAUGACAGCAUUAUUACCCUCAAGAGUGCCAAGGAUUUUAAUGAAACUUGAGACUGGAUGCUGUCUUUGGAUGCUGUUACAGGGACAGCCAGAAGUCCUAGCGAUGCUGCUCUAGACUGCAAUUGAUUCAAACUUAAGGUCUUUUGGGGGUUUCCCAGGUGGAGCUGUGGUAAAGAACCUGCCUGCCAAUGCAGGAGGCACAAGAGAGGUUGGGAUGAUCCCCUGGAGGAGGGAAUGGUAACUCACUGCAGUAUUCUAGCCUAGAUAAUUCCUUGGAUAGAGGAGCCUGGUGGGUCACAGUCCAU